rnacentral:rRNA from 1 species
AACGAACGCUGGCGGCAUGCCUAACACAUGCAAGUCGAACGAGACCUUCGGGUCUAGUGGCGCACGGGUGCGUCACGCGUGGGAACCUGCCCUUAGGUUCGGAAUAACUCCCCGAAAGGGGUGCUAAUACCGGAUAAUGUCUUCGGACCAAAGAUUUAUCGCCUUUGGAUGGGCCCGCGUUGGAUUAGCUAGUUGGUAGGGUAAAAGCCUACCAAGGCGACGAUCCAUAGCUGGUCUGAGAGGAUGAUCAGCCACACUGAGACUGAGACACGGCCCAGACUCCUACGGGAGGCAGCAGUGGGGAAUAUUGCACAAUGGGCGAAAGCCUGAUCCAGCAAUGCCGGGUGAGUGAUGAAGUCCUUAGGGUUGUAAAGCUCUUUUACCCGGGAUGAUAAUGACAGUACCGGGAGAAUAAGCCCCGGCUAACUCCGUG